AACACAGUAAGGAUGUAUGGACCCUCGUCAGUACAGCCGCAUUCUCAGUCACAGCCUCAGCCUCAGACUAAUGCUUUUUCUCAUGGUAAUGUCAACACAGUUAGAUUAUAUGGACCCCCUACACCAUCACAGUCACAGCCAACAACUAUUUUUCAAGGUACUGUCAACACUGUCAGAUUGUAUGGACCCCCUACACCAUUAGGGAACUCUCAGCCAGGAGGGUCUACUCAGCC